rnacentral:lncRNA from 1 species
AAGAAUAUAUCACCAGACUUCAUCACUUUGUAUAUUAAAUCUCAAACAUUGACAUCAUGGCAUAUAGCAAAAUACAAAGAAUCAUAUAGCGUGAUUUAGACGGCCAAGUUCAUGACAAUAUUUCAUACUUGAACAUGCAAUACUUUUGCUCAAUAAUAAGAUAUCAUUUCACAUGCCCAGAGCAAUUAUUAUAUGAAAUAAG